AUUGAACGCUGGCGGCAGGCCUAACACAUGCAAGUCGAGCGCGAAAAUUCCUUCGGGGAUGAGUAGAGCGGCGGACGGGUGAGUAACGCGUAGGAAUCUGCCCGGUAGUGGGGGACAACAGUCGGAAACGACUGCUAAUACCGCAUACGCCCUAAGGGGGAAAGCAGGGGAUCUUCGGACCUUGCGCUAUCGGAUGAGCCUGCGUCGGAUUAGCUUGUUGGUGGGGUAAUGGCCUACCAAGGCGACGAUCCGUAGCUGGUCUGAGAGGAUGAUCAGCCACACUGGGACUGAGACACGGCCCAGACUCCUACGGGAGGCAGCAGUGGGGAAUAUUGGACAAUGGGGGAAACCCUGAUCCAGCCAUGCCGCGUGUGUGAAGAAGGCC
rnacentral:rRNA from 1 species